rnacentral:rRNA from 1 species
CCUACGGGAGGCAGCAGUGGGGAAUUUUGGACAAUGGGGGCAACCCUGAUCCAGCCAUGCCGCGUGCGGGAAGAAGGCCUUCGGGUUGUAAACCGCUUUUGUCAGGGAAGAAACGGUCUGCGCUAAUACCGCGGACUAAUGACGGUACCUGAAGAAUAAGCACCGGCUAACUACGUGCCAGCAGCCGCGGUAAUACGUAGGGUGCAAGCGUUAAUCGGAAUUACUGGGCGUAAAGCGUGCGCAGGCGGCUUUGCAAGACAGAUGUGAAAUCCCCGGGCUCAACCUGGGAACUGCAUUUGUGACUGCAUGGCUAGAGUGCGGCAGAGGGGGAUGGAAUUCCGCGUGUAGCAGUGAAAUGCGUAGAUAUGCGGAGGAACACCGAUGGCGAAGGCAAUCCCCUGGGCCUGCACUGACGCUCAUGCACGAAAGCGUGGGGAGCAAACAGGAUUAGAUACCCUGGUAGUCCACGCCCUAAACGAUGUCAACUGGUUGUUGGACGGCUUGCUGUUCAGUAACGAAGCUAACGCGUGAAGUUGACCGCCUGGGGAGUACGGCCGCAAGGUUGAA